GACGAACGCUGGCGGCGUGCUUAACACAUGCAAGUCGAGCGGAAAGGCCUGCUUUCCCUUGUGGAUUGCGGGUACUCGAGUGGCGAACGGGUGAGUAACACGUGAGUGAUCUGCCCCCAACUUGGGUAUAAGCCUGGGAAACUGGGUCUAAUUCCCGAUAGGACUGCAGGGUGGUGCCUGUGGUGGAAAACGAUUUUCUAGUGGUUGGGGAUGAGCUCGCGGCCUAUCAGCUUGUUGGUGGGGUAAUGGCCUACCAAGGCGGCGACGGGUAGCCGGCCUGGGAGGGUGGACGGGAACGUUGGGACGGAGAUACGGCCCAGACGCCUACGGGAGGCAGCAGUGGGGAAUAUUGCGCAAGGGGCGGAAGCCUGAUGCAGCGACGCCGCGUGGGGGAUGACGGCCUUCGGGUUGUAAACUCCUUUCGACCGCGAGGAAGCCACCUGGUUGGAAGGGUGGUGACGGUAGUGGUAGAAGAAGCACCGGCUAACUACGUG
rnacentral:rRNA from 1 species